ACGCUGGCGGCAGGCUUAACACAUGCAAGUCGAACGGUAACAGGAAUUAGCUUGCUAAUUUGCUGACGAGUGGCGGACGGGUGAGUAAUGCUUGGGAAUCUGGCUUAUGGAGGGGGAUAACUACGGGAAACUGUAGCUAAUACCGCGUAAAAUCUUCGGAUUAAAGGGUGGGACUUUCGAGCCACCUGCCAUAAGAUGAGCCCAAGUGGGAUUAGGUAGUUGGUUAGGUAAAGGCUGACCAAGCCGACGAUCUCUAGCUGGUCUGAGAGGAUGACCAGCCACACUGGAACUGAGACACGGUCCAGACUCCUACGGGAGGCAGCAGUGGGGAAUAUUGCACAAUGGGGGGAACCCUGAUGCAGCCAUGCCGCGUGAAUGAAGAAGGCCUUCGGGUUGUAAAGUUCUUUCGGUGACGAGGAAGGUUGAUAGGUUAAUAGCCUAUCAAAUUGACGUUAAUCACAGAAGAGGCACCGGCUAACUCCGUGCCAGCAGCCGCGGUAAUACGGGGGGUGCGAGCGUUAAUCGGAAUAACUGGGCGUAAAGGGCACGCAGGCGGUGACUUAAGUGAGAUGUGAAAGCCCCGAGCUUAACUUGGGAAUUGCAUUUCAUACUGGGUCGCUAGAGUACUUUAGGGAGGGGUAGAAUUCCACGUGUAGCGGUGAAAUGCGUAGAGAUGUGGAGGAAUACCGAAGGCGAAGGCAGCCCCUUGGGAAUGUACUGACGCUCAUGUGCGAAAGCGUGGGGAGCAAACAGGAUUAGAUACCCUGGUAGUCCACGCUGUAAACGAUGUCGAUUUGGGGAUUGGGCUUUGAGCUUGGUGCCCGUAGCUAACGUGAUAAAUCGACCGCCUGGGGAGUACGGCCGCAAGGUUAAAACUCAAAUGAAUUGACGGGGGCCCGCACAAGCGGUG
rnacentral:rRNA from 1 species